AGAUCAGAAUCUAAAAGCACUCAGGAGAGCAGGGAAAAAGGCAGAAAUUAGAACAGGAGCUAAGAGGAGAGCCGAAGAGGCAAUAAAAACUCAAGGAGGAGAAAGAAAAACUGCAAGAUGAAGAGAGGAGGACAGGAAAAAAAGGGCAGGAGAUAAAUAUGAGGCAACAUAAAAGGGCCUUGAUCUCCAGUUUGUAAAGAUGACGUGAUCUGUGGUGUGAAAGAAAAGAAAUACUUUGCAUUUUUUGAAAUGGCCACGAAGAGAGGACCAGGCUACAUCUCCGAAAUCAAUAUCACAUUUUAUGCCUGCUGCACCCUUCACGAAGAAUCAAGACAACAUUGAUUCAAGUUGACCCAGGUGAACCAGCUUGAGGAGUUUGCACAGAUUGUUUGCAGAAGUGUUUGUUUAAUAGACUGAUUAAUAUAGACAGGAACUUUCCAGAGUCCACAAAAACACGACACCAGAAGAUCUAACUAAGUCAGAAUGUCUCAGUUACAGUCCAGAUUUCUAUUUAUUACCUACCUCACCGAGAAAGACAAGGAGGGAACCCUCUGCUGCAGAUCUCAAGUGAUGCUCGAGGGGAAGAACAGCAUGUACAAGGAGAAGAGCCAAGAGCCUGCCACUAGAGAGAAACCCUGGGAACAGUGUCAAGGUAAGGGCCCUCACCAGCCACUCAGCAAAUGCUUUCUUUGUGACUUUUGCUGCCCCACUUACCUUCUUCCCACGUCCCAACGUUCUCCUCGUCCCGUUUUGCACAGUGACAGGAAAGCCUGAGGUUUUACACAGGUUUCUGGAGACAGGAGCAAGCUUUCCAACAACUGCUUACCUUGCCUGAAAACAACAGUUGGCUCACACCAGAGGUCCUGCAAGCCCCUCACCAUCUCCUCUGGGGAGCAGCUGGAGGGACUUGGGGUGUUCAGCCUGGAGAAAAGGAGGCUCAGGGAGGAUCUGAUCACUGUCGACAGCUCCCUGACAGGAGGCUGCAGCCAGGUAUGGGCCGGUCUCUUCCCCCAGGUAACGAGCAAUAGGACAAGAGGAAGACUCAGUUUGCACCAGGGGAGGUUUGUGUUGGAUAUUAGGGAAAAUUUCAUC